GUGUACUUUAAAACCUGUCAAAAAUAUUACCAUUUACACGAAAUAUGUAAAAUAAUCAAUAAAAAUAUAUCACAUUAUUUUUCUAAAUUUUCAGUGAUACAAGAGUAAUGGCAAUUAAAGAAGUAAUACACAUUCAUAUUGGUCAAGCUGGUGUUCAAGUUGGUAACGCUUGUUGGGAAUUAUAUUGUCUCGAACAUGGCAUUAGACCUGACGGUAUACUAGUGCACUCACAAGAUAGAAGUUCUGAAGCAUUUUUUAACCCAACUGGGAGUGGCAAAGUUGUUCCAAGAGUUGUCAUGGUUGAUUUGGAACCUACACCAAUAGAUGAAAUAAGGACGGGAACAUAUCGUAGACUAUUUCACCCUACAUCCUUAAUUACCGGUAAGGAAGACGCAGCUAGUAAUUUUGCAAGAGGCUAUUUCAGUAUAGGAAGUGAAAUGAUUGAUUUAGUAUUACACCGAAUUCGAUUAAUAGCUGAAGAUUGUAAUUGCUUGCAAGGCUUCAUAAUAUUUCGGUCUUUUGGUGGUGGAACUGGAUCGGGAUUUACAGCACUUUUACUGGAUGGACUGACAAGGGAUUACAAAAAACUCUCAAAGAUCGAAUUUGCUAUAUAUCCAGCUCCUAAAAUAUCACCAAUUAUUGUAGAACCUUAUAAUGCUGUUUUCACUACGCAUGCAUGUAUGGAUACUGAAGAUGUAUGCUUUAUUUUUGAUAAUGAAGCUUUGUAUGACAUUUUGGCCCGCCUUUUAGAUGUACCGCGUCCUACCUACACAAAUUUAAACAGACUUAUUGCCCAGGUAGUAUCCUGUAUGACGACAUCUUUGAGAUUUGAAGGUUCCUUGAAUGUCGAAUUGGUAGAAUUCAGAACAAAUUUAAUACCCUAUCCAAGAAUCCAUUAUCCAUUAGUUACGUUCGCUCCAUUCGUUCCACCAUCUCGAUCGAUGCACGAAACAAUGACCACGCAACAGUUGAUGAUGUCCUGUUUCGAACCUUCCAAUCAAAUGAUCAAGUGUGACCCGAGAAAUGGAAGUUACAUGUCUUGUUGUUUAUUAUUCAGAGGAGAUAUUAAUCCGAAUGAUAUAAAUUCAACUAUUACUCACAUCAAAAGUUUACGAUCUAUAAGGUUUGUGCCUUGGUCGCCGACGGGAUUUAAGAUUGGUGUCAAUUUUCAACCGCCAACAACUGUCCCAGGUGGUGACUUAGCUGCAAUGCAAAGAGCAGUUGUAAUGGUAUCCAACUCGUCAGCUGUACGUGUAGCUUGGGAGCGUCUUUGCAAGAAAUUUUCUUUAAUGUACGCAAAACGCGCUUUUGUACAUCACUACGUUGGUGAAGGAUUAGAGGAAAGAGAAUUUAAAAAUGCAAUAGAAAACAUUAAGGCGUUAUCAAAUGAUUAUAGAGAAUUGGAAACUGAGACUUAAUAGCAUAUCAACUUCGUAAAGUCUAAGCUCAACUAUUUUUUUGAAGAUGUAGUAGCGUUUCAGAUAUCCCAUACCGAAAACCCAUAACUUAUACAUGACUGGAUAUUAUAACGCGUAACAAUAGAGACUUUUUUUAUAAAUUACGGAUUAUACUGACAUAUGACAAAUGAAAAGAUGAGACGCUAAAAUACAGAACUCAUUAUAACAACAGCGUUAAAACAAUAAGACUGUUAACUAAUUGGAAUUCAGCUCUUCUAGUAUAAUAUAGUUAUUUCGACAGUAUAACUCAUACUGCAGGAGAAGGUUAUUUGCAAAAUUUAUAACCUGAUAACUAUGUAU